rnacentral:rRNA from 1 species
AACACGUGGGGAACCGUGCCCCACUAGUCUGGGAUACCACUUGGAACAGGUGCUAAUACCGGAUAAGAAAGCGGAUCGCAUGAUCAGCUUUUAAAAGGCGGCGUAAGCUGUCGCUAUGGGAUGGCCCCGCGGUGCAUUAGCUAGUUGGUAAGGUAACGGCUUACCAAGGCAAUGAUGCAUAGCCGAGUUGAGAGACUGAUCGGCCACAUUGGGACUGAGACACGGUCCAAACUCCUACGGGAGGCAGCAGAC